CCUACGGGAGGCAGCAGUGGGGAAUUUUGGACAAUGGGCGCAAGCCUGAUCCAGCAAUGCCGCGUGCAGGAUGAAGGCCUUCGGGUUGUAAACUGCUUUUGUACGGAACGAAACGGUGAGCUCUAAUACAGUUUGCUAAUGACGGUACCGUAAGAAUAAGCACCGGCUAACUACGUGCCAGCAGCCGCGGUAAUACGUAGGGUGCGAGCGUUAAUCGGAAUUACUGGGCGUAAAGCGUGCGCAGGCGGUGAUGUAAGACAGAUGUGAAAUGCCCGGGCUCAACCUGGGACCUGCAUUUGUGACUGCAUCGCUAGAGUACGGUAGAGGGGGAUGGAAUUCCGCGUGUAGCAGUGAAAUGCGUAGAUAUGCGGAGGAACACCGAUGGCGAAGGCAAUCCCCUGGACCUGUACUGACGCUCAUGCACGAAAGCGUGGGGAGCAAACAGGAUUAGAUACCCUGGUAGUCCACGCCCUAAACGAUGUCAACUGGUUGUUGGGUCUUCACUGACUCAGUAACGAAGCUAACGCGUGAAGUUGACCGCCUUGGGGAGUACGGCCGCAAGGUUGAAACUUCAAAGGAAUUGACGGCUUGAGGAGNGCGACGGACGACGACGAGGGAGGAGG
rnacentral:rRNA from 1 species